rnacentral:rRNA from 1 species
UCCCUGACCGCGUAUGAAAGUACGUUUUCACCCUCGGGUGACAGGGAGACAGGUGGUGCAUGGUUGUCGUCAGCUCGUGUCGUGAGAUGUUGGGUUAAGUCCCGCAACGAGCGCAACCCCUACGUUUAGUUGCUAACAGGUGAAGCUGAGCACUCUAGACGAACUGCCGUUGACAAAACGGAGGAAGGUGGGAUGACGUCAAAUCAUCAUGCCCCUUAUGUUCUGGGCUACACACGUGCUACAAUGGCCGGUACAGACGGAGGCGAAGCCGCGAGGCGGAGCAAAUCCGAAAAAGCCGGUCUCAGUUCGGAUUGCAGGCUGCAAUUCGCCUGCAUGAAGUCGGAAUCGCUAGUAAUCGCAGGUCAGCAUACUGCGGUGAAUACGUUCCCGGGCCUU